rnacentral:tRNA from 1 species
GGGGAUAUAGCUCAGUUGGUAGAGUGCUUGCCUAGCAUGCACGAGGCCCUAGCUUCAAUUCCCAGUACCACCA